rnacentral:rRNA from 1 species
UACGUAGGGACCAAGCGUUGUUCGGAUUUACUGGGCGUAAAGGGCGCGUAGGCGGCUUGACAAGUCACUUGUGAAAUCUCCGGGCUUAACUCGGAACGGCCAAGUGAAACUGUCAUGCUAGAGUGCAGAAGGGGCAAUCGGAAUUCUUGGUGUAGCGGUGAAAUGCGUAGAUAUCAAGAGGAACACCUGAGGUGAAGACGGGUUGCUGGGCUGACACGUGACGCUGAGGCGCGAAGCCAGGGGAGCAAACGGGA